AUGAAAAUUAAUUGAACGAGCAUUGCAUUAAUUUUCAUAAAAGAUUUUCAUAUGAUAGUGUCUCGCAUGUUGAUUUUAAUGAUUUUUCAGAAUUAAAAAGUUUUGCAAAUAACUUUAUCCCCAAUGUCAAUGACGCAUAGUGAAGUAUUUGAGUUUGUUGAAAAUAUUGGUUGUUAUUCAAAUCUUCAGUUGUUUCUUAAAUCCUACUAAUAACAAUUGUAAUGGUAGUAGCAUCAUCAUUGGGUUGUUAUUCAAACUUUACUUAAAACUAAUAAAUGUAUAUU
rnacentral:sRNA from 1 species